UAAGCCAAAUGGAUUUGGCUACUCGCUGUGGUUAAUAAUUUCAAGAAUUGACACAAACUUAAUAAAUCACUCAGAAGGUCCCAAAAAAUGUUCCGAGCGACAAGGACAAGGACAAGGGAGCCUGCCACAAAACGAGCAAAUCGUGCAAUACUUGUUGGCUGUCAGGAUUGGUAACGUUUUCGAGUCUGUCGCUUGAAUGCCCGCCCGCCCGCGCCGUUCAGCGUCCGAUAAUAAUGCAAUUACUAUUUGAAAAAUGAUGUCUGACAGUUUUGAAUUUGUCAUGGUAUUUAUCAAAGUCGUCUCAGCCGCUCCAAAGCCGUUCGUGCCAUGUGCAGCAGACUGGUCCAGUGCAAGCUGAGGGAACCUGGAGCGUAGCUGGUGCGCCUCCAUAUGCUGCACGUUCAUGGGAAGUAAAAAAUUAACAUGUCACUUUCAUCGCAGGUUAAACCUGAACGGGCGAUAAGAGCAACAUCUUUUUCAACUCUCUGUCGAGCAGCUUUAAUUCAGUUGUAUAAAGGAUUGGUACAAACAACGAUGAAACGACGACGACGAAGCGGGUCAUUUGUUA
rnacentral:sRNA from 1 species